CAACACUUAGGUCUGCAGCUGCCAUUUUUUGGUGGGAAAGAGAAAUGGUCCUGUAUUUACCAGAAAAAAAUUGAUAAUCCACCAUGGCAGUAGAGGAAGAUCCAGACUGUUGAUUGGGAAACAAGAGCAAACAAUGAGGCAUAAGGAUUGGGUUUUGAAGGACCACUCGUCACAUUGUCCAAGUCCAAAAGGAGUGCAUCCCUCAGACCAUAUGGUGCAUGGACAUCCUGUGCCAGUGUGAUCCGAGAGCGAGCGUCCAGUUGUGGAGACUCCAGCACAUCGAGCCUGUGGACGGACAGACAUGCGGCGUGAUAUGCAGAACGUCAGGCUCACCCCACGAGAAGCAGUGCUUGAUCAACGCCACCCUCAGCAAGGAGA